UUUAAAGUCUAACCUGCCCAAUGAGGAGUUAAAUGGCCGCGGUAAUUUGACCGUGCAAAGGUAGCAUAAUCAUUAGUUUUUUAAUUGAAAGCUGGUAUGAAUGGUUGGACGAGAAAGUAACUGUCUCAAUUUAAUUUACAUUAGAAUUUUAUUUAUAAGUAAAAAAGCUUAUAUAUAUUUAAAAGACGAGAAGACCCUAUAGAAUUUUAUAUUUUUUUAUAUAGUAUUUUUAUAGUAUACUAAGAUUAUUAUAUAAGUGAAUAUUUUGUUGGGGCGAUAGAAAAAUUUAAUAAACUUUUUUUAUAUUAAUUCAUUAAUUUAUGAUUUAGUGAUCCAUUGUUUAUGAUUAUAAGAUUAAAUUACCUUAGGGAUAACAGCGUAAUUUUUUUUUAGAGUUCUUAUCGAAAAAAGAGUUUGCGACCUCGAUGUUGGAUUAAAAUUAACUUUUGGUGUAGGGGCUAAAGGGUUAGGUCUGUUCGACCUUUAAAAUUUUACAUGAUCUGAGUUUAAACCGGCGUGAGCCAGGUUGGUUUCUAUCUUUAAAAACUAUUGAAUAUUUUAGUACGAAAGGAUCAAGUAUUUAUAAAAUUUAUUAUAUAUUGAAUAUUAAUAU
rnacentral:rRNA from 1 species